CAGAUCUUUGGUGCUUGAAAUACCCUCUAUUCGGAUUUCCGUUUUAAUACCCUAGGAUCAACUCCGGUAGGCGUCCUAUUCCAAAUUUUGAAGAAAUUUAGAAGGUGAAGUCUAAAUCUAAGCCCGCAUCUAAGCCCUCCGUCCGUGGAACUGCUUGUUCUCUCUCCCUCCAGGCGCGUGCACCGCUCCUACUCCCGUCCAGCACCUCCUCUGCUCGCCGCCGCCCUCCGCGCGUCGGUACGCGGGCCGAGCUCCGGCCGGCCCCUCCCCGCCGGCGCCUCGCGAGCCGCCGCCCUCCACGCGUCGGUGCGCCGGGUCGAGCUCCGGUCGGCCCCUGCCCGCCGGCGCCGCGCGAGCCGCCGCUCUCCGCGCGUCACCGCCGACAACCAGGCAUGGCUCUCCCUGUCGUCACAUCCAUAGAUGCCCCCAAUUCCCCUGCUCCGGUACUGAGAGUGGUGGUAGCGAACAAGCAUGGCGAGAAUCUUGUGGGGAUGCUGCACCACGCAGGUUCCAACAAGGUUGUAAUCCUGUGCCAUGGCUUCGUGGCUUGCAAGGAUGAUAGCAUCAUGAUUGAUCUUGCGACUGCAUUGACAAAGCAAGGGAUUGGUGCGUUUCGCUUUGAUUUCAGUGGAAACGGAGAAAGCGAAGGUGAAUUCCAUUACGGCAGCUACAGGAAGGAGGCUGAUGACUUGCAUUCUGUUGUCUCAUAUCUUCACCAGGAGAAGUAUGAUGUAACAGCAAUUCUUGGUCACAGGAAUUCUUCACAGCAAAGGCGGAAGUGUGGUGGUUCUAUAUGCCUCUAUCUAUGGCGAUGUUCCCAUGGUUGUUAACCUUUCUGGUCGAUUUUAUUUGGAGAAAGGCGUUGAAGAGCGUCUAGGCAAAGAAUUUAUGGAUAGAAUAAACAAAGAAGGCUAUAUUGACGUCGUGAACAAAUCAGGAAUAAUUUUGUACAGAGUAACAAAAGAGAGCCUGAUGGAACGAUUGAACACUGAUAUGCAUGCAGCAAGUCUUUCCAUCAGCAAGGAUUGCAGGUUAAGAAAUUAGUUUAAGCAUCAUAUCCCUUCCUGCUUAUACAAUUUAAGCAACCAGCAACAUACAUACAGCAUCUAUGCUAAACUUGUCAGCUCCAUGCAUUUUGUAGAACUCAAAAUACUUCAUUUCUUGCAUGUUUGGCUAAGUGUACGCAUGUGUUAGAACAAAA